rnacentral:misc_RNA from 1 species
AGCUGGCAUCUCUUCAUUAAUAUUUUCCUGCUCCCAAUAUUCGUGACCUUUGCCAAUUCCAAUGCGAAUGUUACGAAGCGCAAGGAAGACACCAAGAGGUGAUCCAACAGCAAAGAAUGUGUCAACCUUGAAUUCAAGCUUUGUGUACUUAAUAUAAGGUGUAUGACUCUUUGGUGCAUCACUUAUCCUUGAUGGCUGCCUCUCAGAUAUGGGUUGCUUUGUUGUGGUUCCAACGUCCACUGUAUUUUCUUGAGGCAACCCACCACGUAUAUCUCUAACACUGGAUUGUGAUUCCAAUUUG